rnacentral:lncRNA from 1 species
AUAUUUAUAUAUCAUCAAGAGCCCUGCUGGCUCUGACUCUGUAUUCAUGAAGCGCCCAGGUAUGUGUGCAUGUGCUCAGUUCCGACAAACUGUUGGAAACCCCAAGCAGCAGUGGCAAGCAGCAGCCUGGUAGCUUGGAGGUAUCCACAGCUGUGCAUCUUGUGUAUUGGACAAACAGCCCCACAGCAGGCUAUGGAGACAGCUGUCCGUGCUUCUUCAGGGAACCAGGAACAAAGAAAACUACAGCAAAGCAAUGAAGUAGUACAUUGCAGGCAAGCACUCCACCAAGUUACAGUUCCAGCUUUCUAAUUCUAAAUUCUCCCAACCUCAAUCUUACUCAUCCCCCCAACUCCCACCCUACUCACCUUCCACCCUCCCCCACCCGACUCACCCCUCCAUCCCACACCCUACUUACCCCCACCCUCCCACACCCUACUCAUCCCCUUACCCUCAUCUCCUUUUCCUUUCCCCUCCCCUGCUGCUCAUCACUGCACCACCACAUCUACCUCACGCGACCACUCUAUCUCACUGCAUUCUAUCUCACUGCAUUCUAUCUCACUGCUAUAUGACAGCAUGUUAGAAGGAUCAGUCAUUCCAGUCUCUCGUUGUGAGUCAGAGUCCAGACAGACAGCUGUGGAAUCUACACAAAGCCCCAAAUUCAAGAACAUGCCAUCUAUAAGCAUUUCUUCCUAGUAAGAUUAUUACCAGCAGACUCUGCUAGGCCACACAAUUAAAGGAAAAAGACAAAGGCUGGUCCUGUCCUCACAGCUAACCGUGUCCAGCUUUAACUAUCAAACCUUGUUGUUUCCUUAUAACCCAUACUCCCAGUGGUACAGUUUCCUCUAGUUCAAACAUUUUACAAAGACAGCUCACGUCUGAGGUUAAAAUGGGACUGAAAAACAGCACCUUUCCCAAUGAAUGCUUUCUAAAUAGAAUGAGACUCUCCAGCCUGCCCUUGCCCUCAUCUCCCUGUGAGGCUGGCCAUCCUUGGCUCCUGACAGAGAUGGAGGAGAAAGGCUGUGAGCUAUGCAUGGACUGCCAAACUCAUGCCAGCUGCAAAAAGGGAAAUAUUAAAGCCACAGCAGCCUUUUUGAGAACCCAUUCAUGCCAGGUGCCACCAGAAGGAAAUCUGCAUUGGCAGGUUUUGUUAUUUUUUAACUUGACCCUGACAAUACCUGUUGGGCUACCUGUACUUUCUGCCAAAGAAGUGUCAGAUGAGGGAGGAAGUUUGCACACCUGGUGAAUUCAAGCUUACAAUACGACUUGAGGCAGGAAAGGGAGAGAGAGAGAGAGGCGACUACAAGAAAGAACACAGCCAAGAGAUGGAAACUGAGGAGGAGGAAGAAGACUGAAGAAACAAAUACUGAGGAGGAAUUCUUUUAUGGCAUUUUCCAAGAUCACGUUUCACCGCAGGCACAGCGAUAAUUACGUGGUCCAGCGGCUGGGAAUGUGAGAAUCCACCGCUCUGUGUUUGCGUGUGUAUACCUGGCGCUCAAAAGAAAACUGCAUCAGUCACUGUGCCUGCUUAGAUUUUGAUGACCUAUUUGGCCAGGCUGCUCCACUGCAGAAUUCCAAACACUUGUAAUUAAGCAUUAAGUGGUUUCUUAAUGGACUGUCUUUUCCAAAAGGGCCUUUCUUU